UACGUAGGGUGCGAGCGUUUGUCCGGAAUCACUGGGCGUAAAGCGCACGUAGGCGGAUUGUUAAGUCAGGGGUGAAAUCCUGGAGCUCAACUCCAGAACUGCCUUUGAUACUGGCGAUCUUGAGUCCGGGAGAGGUGAGUGGAACUGCGAGUGUAGAGGUGAAAUUCGUAGAUAUUCGCAAGAACACCAGUGGCGAAGGCGGCUCACUGGCCCGGUACUGACGCUGAGGUGCGAAAGCGUGGGGAGCAAACAGGG
rnacentral:rRNA from 1 species